rnacentral:rRNA from 1 species
CCUACGGGAGGCAGCAGUGGGGAAUAUUGCACAAUGGGGGAAACCCUGAUGCAGCGACGCCGCGUGAGCGAUGAAGUAUUUCGGUAUGUAAAGCUCUAUCAGCAGGGAAGAAACUGACGGUACCUGACUAAGAAGCACCGGCUAAAUACGUGCCAGCAGCCGCGGUAAUACGUAUGGUGCAAGCGUUAUCCGGAUUUACUGGGUGUAAAGGGAGCGUAGACGGACUUGCAAGUCUGAAGUGAAAGCCCGGGGCGCAACACCGGGACUGCUUUGGAAACUGUAGGUCUAGAGUGCUGGAGAGGUAAGUGGAAUUCCUAGUGUAGCGGUGAAAUGCGUAGAUAUUAGGAGGAACACCAGUGGCGGAGGCGGCUUACUGGACAGUAACUGACGUUGAGGCUCGAAAGCGUGGGGAGCAAACAGGAUUAGAUACCCCAGUAGUC